AUUAGCCUGGAAUGUUCGAAAUAGCCUAUAAUUUGAACCUACAUUAGACGUAAGGGAGUUCGGUGUUUGAAUCCAAAUGUCAGGCCCCAAGAUAAUUCCGCCACAUGCCUUUAGGCGUGUGCAACGGCAGGGGAAGGCAGAGGUUAUCAACAGAGCACCCACCUAGCCUGGGCUAGGUGUCGAAAUAUAGGGGAAACGGCAUUUUGGGUAUUAA
rnacentral:other from 1 species